rnacentral:lncRNA from 1 species
UUCGAAAUCGCCCUCAGUUUAUUUUCAUAAGUGUUAAUAGUCCUAAUCCCAAUAAUUCCUUUUUUAUUUCCUUUGUUUAUGGCAGUCCUGAUAGGUCUAAACGGAAGCUUCUUUGGGAAGAUUUAAAAUCUGCUAAUCUUAACCUCUAUUCUCAUUGGUUAAUUAUGGGGGAUUUUAAUGUAAUUUUAUCUCCUUCAGAUAAAAAAAAGUCUUGUGUUAGUU